AUGUCAAACUUCUGUCAGUUUCCUCACUUGCAUCUGGACAAAACCCAAAUGAGAGACUGUCUACCUAAGAAUAUAAAUGAACUGAAAGUGAUCACUAAGUUUCUCCACCUAGAAGCUGAAAUCUUGUUACUGCUGUUCAUUAAAAAAAAAAAAAAAAGAAUUCCACAAGUACUCCUCCAAGAAGGGUAUAUAAAGGCGGGUGAGGAGGCCUCGGGCAGAUCACUGGGAAAUUUUGGCAUGGGCAAGGUGACCUAUAAGCCACAAACUUCUAGCAGAGUUACAGAACAACCGACUCCAAGCACCUCAGGGAGAAAAGAGAAGACCCCCUUUCAACUCGGGUCCAGAGACAGUGACAUGGUAGCCAAGACAAUUAUGAAAGCUAAAAGAUAUCCUCAAGGGAGUUUAAGAGAAGACACCUCUUCCAGAGUUCCCAUCCCUUUAAUUAAUUCUAAGAAAACCAAAGGAUCAAUCCUAUUCAGCCAUUAUCACAAGCUGAAUGAAAAGCUGAAUCAAAAUGAACCCAAGCAGUCCCAAGAGAGUGUAGAAAAACCCACCACUUCAGAUGAAGAGCCGGGCAGCCAGAACUUCAGAGUGGAGCCAGAGGCCUCAAAUAUCUGUGAAAUCUCCAAAGUCUAGCCACUUCGAAAUGGCAACUACUUAGAGACCAAACUACACGAACAGGGUACAUGCAUGGUAAUGAAUAAAAUAAAAAUUCACCCUGUUGUGAAAAUUUGCAUGUGUGUCUCUGUGAGUUCUCUGAUUGUAGGGAAGGAUAAAGGAAAGGGG
rnacentral:lncRNA from 1 species